rnacentral:misc_RNA from 1 species
GGAAGUAACGUAACAAGGUUUCCGUAGGUGAACCUGCGGAAGGAUCAUUCAUAAUAAGUGUUUUAUGGCACUUUUUUAAAUCCAUAUCCACCUUGUGUGCAAUGUCAGGGUUGAUUUUUCUCUCGAGAGGAUCGGCCCCAAACAUCAACUAUAUCUCAACUCUUUGUCUGAAAAAUAUUAUGAAUAAAACAAUUCAAAAUACAACUUUCAACAACGGAUCUCUUGGCUCUC